GUUAUUAUUCAAUAACCUGAAAAAAGAGAACAGAAUAAGGAUAUUUCUCUGAAAAGCCCAUAACAAUCAAUUACAAAAAAAUAUAAAAGAAAAUAAAAAACCCAACAAGCAUUGUUUGGAAAACAAUUAGGCAAUGAAUGUGAAUAAUCACUAAUCACUUCAGUUUUUACUGUAUGCAUCUGGUGUAAUUGGGCAGUGCACCCUUGGUGUAUCUUCAAUCAAUUUAUUUAAUAAUAUUUAAGGAUUGCAAUGCUCUACAUUUAUCAAUAUGCAAAAAUGGAAAAAUCAGUUUAUUUUUAGAAAAGUGUGCAAGUUAAGAGAGGCCAUAGUAUCCAAUAAUGUUCAUGGAACAAGUCCAAUGGUUUAUGCUUCCCUUUGGGGAAGGUUGAUGUGUUUUUGAUGUAUGGAAUCCAUACUCAAUGUUUUUUCCAUUUCUUUAUUUUACAAGUUUCAAUUCAGUAUACCCAUGCAUCUAUGGUUGUUAUUUAAAUCUUUGUUGUAAGCCUCUUCAUGCAAUUUUAGCCCAUUUCCUAACUGCUAAGAACUUGCCUUAACUGGCCUGCAUGGACCAACAAUAUGAAACUAAGACAGCAAAAAUAAUGUUGGCAUGGUAUGACUAUAAAUG
rnacentral:misc_RNA from 1 species